UACGUAGGGGGCGAGCGUUGUCCGGAUUUAUUGGGCGUAAAGAGCGUGUAGGCGGCCAGGUAGGUCUGCUGUGAAAACUCGAGGCUCAACCUCGAGACGUCGGCGGAAACCAUCUGGCUAGAGUCCGGAAGAGGAGAGUGGAAUUCCUGGUGUAGCGGUGAAAUGCGCAGAUAUCAGGAAGAACACCCGUGGCGAAGGCAGAUCUCUGGGCCGUAACUGACGCUGAGGAGCGAAAGCAUGGGGAGCGAACAGG
rnacentral:rRNA from 1 species